UACGGGGGGGGCAAGCGUUGUUCGGAAUUACUGGGCGUAAAGGGCUCGUAGGUGGCCAACUAAGUCAGACGUGAAAUCCCUCGGCUUAACCGGGGAACUGCGUCUGAUACUGGAUGGCUAGAGAUUGGGAGAGGGAUGCGGAAUUCCAGGCGUAGCGGUGAAAUGCGUAGAUAUCUGGAGGAACACCGGUGGCGAAGGCGGCAUCCUGGACCAACACUGACGCUGAGGUGCGAAAGCGUGGGGAGCAAACAGG
rnacentral:rRNA from 1 species